UGGGGAAUUUUGGACAAUGGGGGAAACCCUGAUCCAGCCAUCCCGCGUGUGCGAUGAAGGCCUUCGGGUUGUAAAGCACUUUUGGCAGGAAAGAAACGUCAUGGGUUAAUACCCCGUGAAACUGACGGUACCUGCAGAAUAAGCACCGGCUAACUACGUGCCAGCAGCCGCGGUAAUACGUAGGGUGCAAGCGUUAAUCGGAAUUACUGGGCGUAAAGCGUGCGCAGGCGGUUCGGAAAGAAAGAUGUGAAAUCCCAGAGCUCAACUUUGGAACUGCAUUUUUAACUACCGGGCUAGAGUGUGUCAGAGGGGGGUGGAAUUCCGCGUGUAGCAGUGAAAUGCGUAGUUAUGCGGAGGAACACCGAUGGCGAAGGCAGCCUCCUGGGAUAACACUGCCGCUCAUGCACGAAAGCGUGGGGAGCAAACAGG
rnacentral:rRNA from 1 species